GCCCGGGCACCCCUCAAUACCCUUUUCAACACUAGUUACAGAUUUUCCGCACCACUGGUGGCUUAUUUCAUCCUCACACAGACAAAUGCGUACAAGACAAGCCAUUGUCCCCACAGCAUUUUCUUAUUAUCUUGCUGAAAUGUGGUGAAAUGCAUUACAGUUUCAGGUGACUUCAGGAAUGUGGAGAAAUACUUUGCCCAUUCCCUGAGAAAAAGCUUCGUUAUUUUCUUCAUAUGAAUUCUGCUCCCAGUGAUUGACUCGUGUAUUAGCGUUUUGAGACCAAAAACUUUUCAGCAGACCGUUUUUCUAGGGUAAAGCUUUACUUUUCGCAGUCUGUGUUUUCUUCACUCGGUCCCCAUUGCCACUGGUUAGAAGGAAUAGGGGAUUUUGAAAGUUUCUAAUCAACAAUGGCUACUUGCCUCAAUUUGGCUAAGGCAUCCUCCUCUGACCAAAGGAAGAAUCUUCAAAUCACUGAUGGCUGGCAGCCCCAAAGGGUGCAUAGAUGAAGAUCCAAGAUCAACUUAGGAUCAGAGACCAACUCCACUUUGGACUGGUGCAACAAAUCCCCAGGACAAAAUGGCAAAACCGAAAGCGAAGUUUCGUCCUAUGUUUAGUCCCAAUUAUGAGACACAAAUCUUGACAUACUCCUGCCUGUGCUUGUGACAUUUGACAGGCCUGGAAGUUAUCGUAAAGCAAAAAUGAGACCGGAAUUCUUCAUACAUAAAGCAUUCACUGAUACAGAGGAAAAACCAUUGGACAAGCAAGAACAUCACCAUUCACACACUGUCUCCGUGUCUUCCCAGCUGCACUCCUGGGUAAGAGUAGCUUUACCUCAGUAAACUUCCUGUUACUCAGCUAGAAAAUGAAAAACACACAUAUACACAUACAUCUAGAGUAUCUGGGACAG